AGCUUUAGGGCUAGCCUCAAGUGAUGAUUAUUGGAGGUAGAGCACUGUUUGGACGAGGGGCCCCUCUCGGGUUACCGAAUUCAGACAAACUCCGAAUGCCAAUUAAUUUAACUUGGGAGUCAGAACAUGGGUGAUAAGGUCCGUGUUCGAAAGGGAAACAGCCCAGACCACCAGCUAAGGUCCCAAAAUAUAUGUUAAGUGGAAAAGGAUGUGGCGUUGCCCAGACAACUAGGAUGUUGGCUUAGAAGCAGCCAUCAUUUAAAGAGUGCGUAAUAGCUCACUAGUCGAGUGACACUGCGCCGAAAAUGUACCGGGGCUAAACAUAUUACCGAAGCUGUGGAUUGUCCUUUGGACAAUGGUAGGAGAGCGUUCUAAGGGCGUUGAAGCAUGAUCGUAAGGACAUGUGGAGCGCUUAGAAGUGAGAAUGCCGGUGUGAGUAGCGAAAGACGGGUGAGAAUCCCGUCCACCGAUUGACUAAGGUUUCCAGAGGAAGGCUCGUCCGCUCUGGGUUAGUCGGGUCCUAAGCUGAGGCCGACAGGCGUAGGCGAUGGAUAACAGGUUGAUAUUCCUGUACCACCUAUAAUCGUUUUAAUCGAUGGGGGGACGCAGUAGGAUAGGCGAAGCGUGCGAUUGGAUUGCACGUCUAAGCAGUAAGGCUGAGUAUUAGGCAAAUCCGGUACUCAUUAAGGCUGAGCUGUGAUGGGGAGAAGACAUUGUGUCUUCGAGUCGUUGAUUUCACACUGCCGAGAAAAGCCUCUAGAUAGAAAAUAGGUGCCCGUACCGCAAACCGACACAGGUAGUCAAGAUGAGAAUUCUAAGGUGAGCGAGCGAACUCUCGUUAAGGAACUCGGCAAAAUGACCCCGUAACUUCGGGAGAAGGGGUGCUCUUUAGGGUUAACGCCCAGAAGAGCCGCAGUGAAUAGGCCCAAGCGACUGUUUAUCAAAAACACAGGUCUCUGCUAAACCGUAAGGUGAUGUAUAGGGGCUGACGCCUGCCCGGUGCUGG
rnacentral:rRNA from 1 species